AAACAUUUGCCUGGAGAAAAUUCAGGUUGUUAUAGAAACACACAGGAAUAUGUUCAGGCAGACUUGUUCGUGAGAAGAAAAGCACACUUAAACUAGCACAAGCAAAGGCAUAUUUACUAUAAAGAUACAUGUGACAUGGGCAAAGAAUAAGAUUGGCUGAUCCUAUCUGCAUGAUAGGCCAGAGAGGUCCUCAGCUUUCCUUUAGUCCAUAUGUGCUACCUAUAGCCCAGCCACUGUUGUUUAAAGAGGAUGCAUAUGAUACAAAUCAAAAAAUAAUAUACAAUGUAAGAACCUCUGGUUUUACUUUCAUUGAAGAUCAUUUUGGAUUAUGAAUUUCAUGACAUAAAAGCCUGGCAAUGAAAUAUACAUUUGGAAUACUGCAGAAGGGCUUUGCUUCUUUUUU
rnacentral:lncRNA from 1 species